rnacentral:lncRNA from 1 species
AAUGAGAGACAGCCCCUUUACUCCACAGCCUGCCGAAAUUAUUCAAACCAGCCAAUCUUUAAACCUCCCUACAGCUGCUCUGCCUGUUCUUUCCUGUAGAAACCACAGUAAAGUCUCUUGCCUCCAGUUCUCUCCCUUCCUUCUGCCUCGUGGCUGAUCUCAGGGCUUCCCUGUGUGGCCCCUCCUGCAGUGGCUUGUCUCCUCCUCUUGGGAACUACUGUGAGCCCCUCAUUUCUAGAAUGCUGUCUUAUUCAUCCUUGAAUGCAUGCCGUGUAUCAGGCACUGUGUGAGCACUGGAGACAGAAUGGGGAAGGAGCCUGAAGCCAAGGAAUUUAACCCUGGGGAGGCAUGGCACUUUCCACGUGGUUCCUGGAACACAGUGCGUCCUUCUUUCUCAGGUUACCAUGUGUGUAUCUUCCAGUUGCUUCCAGCUCCUCCAUAGUGCUCCACGUAGUGUUGCCAUCACAUACCUCUCAUCCACCCAAGGUGUGGACACCCAAAUUGCCCUCAAUGUCUUGCUACCACAAAUUAUGCUAAGCUGGAAUCAAGGACUGCAUAGUGCUGAAAUGAAGUGCUGGAGCCAUCCAUUGUGUGCUUGCAAGAUGGCUCCUUGGCUAUGAGAGCAUAGUGAUGCUACGAGGCUGAUGGACUCAGUUCUCCUGACAUAACAUGGCUGGAGAAGCCCCAACUCUGGAAUUUUAUCAUGUUCUUUCAUGCUUGUGGUUCUGCCAGCAUAUGAGUAACUGAACUUGGGCUGGUUGACCUGGCAAGAAAUCCAAACUGAAAUAAGAAUCAGCUCCUUUCCUCGCCUCCCCCCAGCUUUAUUGAGAUAUAAUUAACAUGUAACAUUGUGUUAGUCUAAGUUGUACAACAAAGAAAGUUAGUUGUACCUAAAGAAAGAGAAAACACAAGUUAACAACUUCAACAAGGAAGUAAAGGCCAUCACUACUGAUCCCAAGGAUAUUAAAAGAAUAAUAAAGGAACACAAGGAACAACUCUAUGCCCAUACAUUGAUAACUUAGUUAAUAUUAUCAACUUCAUAAAAGGAAAACUACCAAAAUACCUCAAGGAGAAAUACAUGACCUAAUAGUUCUAUAUAUGUUAAAGGAAAUUAAUGAAUAACUUAAAACUUUCUAAAAGAGAAAGCACUAGACUUCAAUGAUUUCACUGGUGAAUUCUACCAAACUUUUAAGAAAAAAAUUAUGCUGGUUCUCUUCCCAAUCUCUUCUAGCAAAAAUAGAAGCUAAAAGAAUACUUUUCAACUUAUUUUAUGAGGCCAAAUUAAGACCAGAUUUAGCAAAGUUAAAGAUAUCACAAGAAAACUACAGAUCAAUAUUUUUCAUUAACCUGGACACAAAAAUCCUCAACAAAAUACCAGCAAAUUGAAUUUAGAAAUACAUAGAAAUGGUAAUACAUAUAACCAAGAGGGCUUUACCCUAGGAUAAACUAAUUAUGUAAAUUCAUAAAUUAAUCAAUGUGAUUCAUGAUAUUGAUGGACUAAGAAAUAAAUGAAUAAACAUAAAUAAUCAAAUAAAUAGAUAUAGUAAAACACUCUACAAAAUUCAAACCCAUUGAUGAUGAAAGCUCCCCAAAUCUAGGAAUAAAAGGGAAAACUCUCAACCCACUAAAGUGGCUAUACUAAGAUCCUGCAGCUGGUAUCCUACUUGUUUGUGAGAGACUGAACCUUUCCCCUAAGAUAGGAAAGCAUGAUGUCACCCAUCACCAAUGCUAUUCAAUACCCUACCGGAAGUCCUAGCUAGUGAAGUAAGUCAAGAACAAUAAAUAAAAGUAUAAAGAUUGGGAAAGGAAGAAAUAAACCCUUUUAUUAGCAAAUGAUAUGAUUAUUGAUUUAGAAAACCCUCAAAAAUCUACGAGAAUACUUUCUGUAAUUAAUGGACUCUAACACUAUCAAAUGACAAAAGGUUAAUAUACAAAUACAAUAUAUAAAAUAAAAUAUACAGAAAAAGCUCAACAUCAUUUUUACUCCAGCUGCUAAAAUCCAAAAAUUGACAUUAUUAAUUUUUAGCAAGGAAAUAGAGCAAAAGGAACUCUCAUUCACUGUUGGUGGGGAUGUCAAAGGGUCCUCAGUCACCAGGGAAGACAGUUUGGGGAUUUCUUACCUACCUAAAGAUAGUCUUACCAUAAGAUCCAGGAAUUACGUUCCUAGGUUUUUACUCAACUAAUUUGAAAAUGUAUGUCCACACAAGAGACCUAUACAUGAAUAAGGGGUUU